rnacentral:rRNA from 1 species
GGGUGAAGGAACUAGGCAAAAUGGUGCCGUAACUUCGGGAGAAGGCACGCUGACACGUAGGUGAAGUGAUUUACUCAUGGAGCUGAAGUCAGUCGAAGAUACCAGCUGGCUGCAACUGUUUAUUAAAAACACAGCACUGUGCAAACACGAAAGUGGACGUAUACGGUGUGACGCCUGCCCGGUGCCGGAAGGUUAAUUGAUGGGGUCAGCGCAAGCGAAGCUCCUGAUCGAAGCCCCGGUAAACGGCGGCCGUAACUAUAACGGUCCUAAGGUAGCGAAAUUCCUUGUCGGGUAAGUUCCGACCUGCACGAAUGGCGUAAUGAUGGCCAGGCUGUCUCCACCCGAGACUCAGUGAAAUUGAACUCGCUGUGAAGAUGCAGUGUACCCGCGGCAAGACGGAAAGACCCCGUGAACCUUUACUAUAGCUUGACACUGAACAUUGAGCCUUGAUGUGUAGGAUAGGUGGGAGGCUUUGAAGUGUGGACGCCAGUCUGCAUGGAGCCGACCUUGAAAUACCACCCUUUAAUGUUUGAUGUUCUAACGUGGACCCGUAAUCCGGGUUGCGGACAGUGUCUGGUGGGUAGUUUGACUGGGGCGGUCUCCUCCUAAAGAGUAACGGAGGAGCACGAAGGUUGGCUAAUCCUGGUCGGACAUCAGGAGGUUAGUGCAAUGGCAUAAGCCAGCUUGACUGCGAGCGUGACGGCGCGAGCAGGUGCGAAAGCAGGUCAUAGUGAUCCGGUGGUUCUGAAUGGAAGGGCCAUCGCUCAACGGAUAAAAGGUACUCCGGGGAUAACAGGCUGAUACCGCCCAAGAGUUCAUAUCGACGGCGGUGUUUGGCACCUCGAUGUCGGCUCAUCACAUCCUGGGGCUGAAGUAGGUCCCAAGGGUAUGGCUGUUCGCCAUUUAAAGUGGUACGCGAGCUGGGUUUAGAACGUCGUGAGACAGUUCGGUCCCUAUCUGCCGUGGGCGCUGGAGAACUGAGGGGGGCUGCUCCUAGUACGAGAGGACCGGAGUGGACGCAUCACUGGUGUUCGGGUUGUCAUGCCAAUGGCACUGCCCGGUAGCUAAAUGCGGAAGAGAUAAGUGCUGAAAGCAUCUAAGCACGAAACUUGCCCCGAGAUGAGUUCUCCCUGAGACUUAGAGUCUCCUGAAGGAACGUUGAAGACGACGACGUUGAUAGGCCGGGUGUGUAAGCGCAGCGAUGCGUUGAGCUAACCGGUACUAAUGAACCGUGAGGCUUAACCUUACAACGCCGAAG